UAGGGAAUCUUCGGCAAUGGGGGGAACCCUGACCGAGCAACGCCGCGUGAGUGAAGAAGGUUUUCGGAUCGUAAAGCUCUGUUGUUAAGGAAGAACGAGUGUGAGAAUGGAAAGUUCAUGCUGUGACGGUACUUAACCAGAAAGGGACGGCUAACUACGUGCCAGCAGCCGCGGUAAUACGUAGGUCCCGAGCGUUGUCCGGAUUUAUUGGGCGUAAAGCGAGCGCAGGCGGUUAGAAAAGUCUGAAGUGAAAGGCAGGGGCUCAACCAUUGUAGGCUUUGGAAACUGUUUAACUUGAGUGCAGAAGGGGAGAGUGGAAUUCCAUGUGUAGCGGUGAAAUGCGUAGAUAUAUGGAGGAACACCGGUGGCGAAAGCGGCUCUCUGGUCUGUAACUGACGCUGAGGCUCGAAAGCGUGGGGAGCGAACAGG
rnacentral:rRNA from 1 species